AACAACACAGAAAUGGAGGGCGAGAGGCAGCAGCCGCCGGCGGCUCCAAGGUGCUGGACGACGACGACCUCCUCGCGGAGAUCCUCCUCCGCGUAGCCCUCCCCACCACCCUCCUCCGCGUCGCGCUCGUCUGCAAGCGCUGGCUGGGGCACGCGUCCGGCCGCGCCUUCCUCCGCCGCUUCCGCAAGCUCCACCCGCCCCGCCUCCUCGGCUUCUACGUCGAGGGCGACAGGGACGUCCCGGCCGACCCGCCGGCCUUCGUCCCGGUGCUGCCCCAGCCCGCAGAACUCGCCGCCGUCCUCCGCCGCGCAAGCUUCAGCUUGGACAUCUACAACGGCCAAUUGGUCCAGAUCCACGACUGCCGGAACGGCAGCGUCUUCGUCCAGGUCGGGAGCGAGGGCAGGGCGGUCAUGAGGGUGCACACCCCGCUGUGCCCUCGGAGACCCGUCGCCUUCAUCCCGCCGCUCCCGCGCCCCGCACUCCGGCCCCGUGGUCUCUGCAGCUUCAUGCAGAUCCUCUCGACGGAGGAAAGGGGCGAUCCAACUCCCACGGGGCGCCAAGCACGAUGGGUGCGGCGCCACCAUGCUGGCACGGGCUCAUGAUGCUUCCGGUGUGUAUUUCGUCCUCGUCGAGGAGUUUCGGCUUCUCAUCUGGCUCCACAGGGGGGGCAACUGGUCGCUGGUGGACACCAUUUGUUUGCGCGAGAUGUGUCCUGAUUUGAGGGUGCUAGGCUGCACGGCUGAGGAUGAGGAAAGUGGUCUUGUGCUCUUGCAGAUGGGCCGGUGUGCGCUCCACCUGGACACCAGGUGCAGGACGCUGCGUAAGGUGUAUGAGCAAACGGAAGAGAAUCAGUGCUUUGGUGAUAUCCAUCCGUUUAUGAUGAUCUGGCAUCCCACGUUCCCUGCACUCCGGGGUGAUCAUGCAAGAGAUGCAAUGUGAAGAAGAAAGAUACCAGGAAGCUCAUGGAUGCUAUCUAUGUCGUGAGUGAUCAGGGCAGCAUCACGGAAGAGCAGUAGUGGGCUGCAUUUUGUCUAGUACGUGAUAGACUGAUAGCAUUUCUAACCGUCUUUAUUAUAACCUUUACUGGAUCAACUAAUUACUUAAUUAGGAAUCAGGAUGCUAUUGCUAUGUAACUGGAGCACGUACUCCUAUGUGAAUUGGAUCUUUGUUAUUGUUGGUAUAAUACUUCAUGUAUUCUGAGUAGUUAUCUCGUCUGA